GACGAACGCUGGCGGCGUGCUUAACACAUGCAAGUCGAACGGAAAGGCCCUGCUUUUGUUGGGUGCUCGAGUGGCGAACGGGUGAGUAACACGUGAGUAACCUGCCCUUGACUUUGUGAUAACUUCAGGAAACUGGGGAUAAUACCGGGUAGGAGCUCCUGCUGCAUGGUGGUGGUUGGAAAGUUUCGGCGGUUGGGGCUGGUAUCGCGGCUUAUCAGCUUGUUGGGGGGGUAGUGGUUUACCAAGGCUUUGACGGGUAGCCGGCCUGAGAGCGUUACCGGCCACAUUGGGACUGAGAUAGGGCCCAGACUCCUACGGGAGGCAGAAGGGGGGAAUAUUGCAGAGUGGGCGGAAGCCUGAUGCAGCAACGCCGCGUGCGGGAUGACGGCCUUCGGGUUGUAAACCGCUUUCUCCUGUGACGAAGCGUGCGUGACGGUAAUGGGUAAAGAAGCACCGGCUAACUACGUG
rnacentral:rRNA from 1 species